CGCCGUCGGUUUAGGGCAUGUACAACGGACAGUCGACUCCGUCGACAUGCAGAUUUUUUUUGCGAAAACCCCCCUCGUGACUGGCAAUUAUUGAGGAGAGAGAGCAGGGUCGUCGGCUCGUUCGUCGGCGGCUUGCGCGCGUGGUCCGAGACGAGUCGACGAGGAGCACGAGGGUUGUACGGAGCGCUGCGGCUCGGCGACGGCGGCGAGGAUCCGGUGAGCACGCGGGGAAUCGUUUGGCGCCAAAGGUGCGUGCCAUCUUCCCCUGAAAAAUCCUCGCCGUGCACCGCCCCGUCCCCGUCCCCGUCCCCGUCCCUGUCCCGCGCUGCCCCGUCCUCGCCGCGCCACCACCGUCCACUACUGUGUUGCUUCUCCCACGGCCUGCAACGGAGGCAGUAGGCCGCAAUAUGCACGCGCUUCCGGCUCUCCCUCUCCCCAGCUCCGGCAACGGGGGAUCUGGCCGCGGCCGACCCGCACAGCGCCCCCCCGCCGCCGGAGAUCCUCCCCUUCCCCCAGCUCCGGCCAGGGCGGAUCUGGCCGCCGCUGACCCGCACAGCGCGUCCCCGCCGCCGGAGACUGUCGCCCCCAUCACGAGCGCGUAGUGGACGAGCAUCCUGCACCCAGACUUCAACGGCUCCCCAACUCCGGCCAUGGUGUGGAUCUGGCCGCCGCCGGAGACGGCCGCCUUCAUGAGCGCCUAGGCUUCAACGGCAAAACGAAACCACAGGCGCCUACAAUACUGGAGUGCAGGUUUAGCUGAACAAUACUGUGAGAGAAUGGUGUACCUUUGCCCAAAAGAGACAUGCUACUCUGCAAGAAACUAGCAUGCUUGCUUAGUCGGUAGUACAUGAUAAGGGCUGCGAAAAAAUGUCCUGGAUACAGCAACUUCCAUAUGGAAUUUUGACUGUGUUCGUUCAGUUUAGUCUGAAUCAACUUUUCUUAUUGUCUUGGUAGAGAUUUUGGAAUCUUGAUGUUGAUCCAAACUAAAUGGUCUUGGUUGUUGAGCUUUCUGCAUCACAAUAUCAAGAAUUUCAGAUGAGAUGGAGCUGUACAACCAGUUGAGGAUAACAUAGUAAACUUGUGUACUUCCUUUUAAAUUCAGACUUUACUAUGGAAAGUCAGAAACAAGUAUAACUCUUCUCUCUCACUA